rnacentral:rRNA from 1 species
UACGUAGGGGGCAAGCGUUAUCCGGAUUUACUGGGUGUAAAGGGGGCGCAGGCGGGCUUUUAAGUCAGCGGUAAAAAUUCGGGGCUCAACCCCGUCCGGCCGUUGAAACUGGGGGCCUUGAGUGGGCGAGAAGAAGGCGGAAUGCGUGGUGUAGCGGUGAAAUGCAUAGAUAUCACGCAGAACCCCGAUUGCGAAGGCAGCCUUCCGGCGCCCUACUGACGCUGAGGCACGAAAGUGCGGGGAUCGAACAGG